rnacentral:lncRNA from 1 species
UCAAAAGAUAUCUGUAGUUCACUCCACCCACCUCUUUCCCAAUAUAAUUACAAGUAGAAAGAGAAAUUGUAAAAUGCUUUUAGUGGAAAAUUUCAUUCCAGAAGCCUUGAUUUCUCAAUAAGUGGUGCUUGACACUCCCAGAAUUGUCCACUGGCAACUGCUACUUCUCUAAAAGACAGAUUGGUCUAUCGCAAGCUGAAGCCUAGACACUGGGAUUUGUGCACGUUCACAGAGCAGCCCAGCUCAUUGCCCAGACUCACUGUCAGUGUUGACAGGGUCAUUCACCCCAAGUGAGCAUUCACCAACUUUCCUGCACCCCACUCUCUAAGGCAAACACUGUCUUUGCCUUCCCUAUCCAUUGGCUUUGUUAGAGCCAUAAGAGGCAGAACUGAGAAGGGACCCUGGUGAUUUGUAUCAAACACGGACAAGAUUUACCUGCCAGAGAGAAGAAGAGACACACUUGGAAGGAAAGGGAGGAUGGACAGCAAGAUGAAGACCACGAGGGCCGGAUUCUGGUGGGGAGUUUUCAGUAGGCAGGUGGGAGAGAGGCAUGAAGAGAGAAGCUUCAGUGCAGACUUUGGAUGUGAGAGAGAACAAAUGUAGAGCAAUGGGAAAAGGGAAUUUUGGGUGUGGCA